UCCCUGGUGGCUCAGAGGUUAAAGCAUCUGCCCACGAUGCAGGAGACCCGGGUUCAAUCCCUGGGUAGGGAA